GAUGAACGCUGGCGGCGUGCCUAAUACAUGCAAGUCGAGCGAACAGACGAGGAGCUUGCUCCUCUGACGUUAGCGGCGGACGGGUGAGUAACACGUGGAUAACCUACCUAUAAGACUGGGAUAACUUCGGGAAACCGGAGCUAAUACCGGAUAAUAUAUUGAACCGCAUGGUUCAAUAGUGAAAGACGGUUUUGCUGUCACUUAUAGAUGGAUCCGCGCCGCAUUAGCUAGUUGGUAAGGUAACGGCUUACCAAGGCAACGAUGCGUAGCCGACCAGAGAGGGUGAUCGGCCACACUGGACCUGAGACACGGUCCAGACUCCUACGGGAGGCAGCAGUAGGGAAUCUUCCGCAAUGGGCGAAAGCCUGACGGAGCAACGCCGCGUGAGUGAUGAAGGUCUUCGGAUUGUAAAACUCUGUUAUUAGGGAAGAACAAAUGUGUAAGUAACUAUGCACGUCUUGACGGUACCUAAGCAGAAAGCCACGGCUAACUACGG
rnacentral:rRNA from 1 species